GGGAGAAGCAUACCUUGCUGGCCGAGUUACCACAGUGCCACAUGCUCCCAGGCCAGCAUCUACCCUCUGCCCGGGGCAUAUUUCAUACCAGGGCUGGCCUUCUCUGGUCUGGUGCUAGGCUUCUGUUCAUGGGACAGUCCCUUUCAUCAGUGCCCCAGCUGCCUUCUGUCUUGUGCCUUUAAACAAAGGGAACAUCUCUGUGCCAAAGACCAAAGUCCCCAUUCACCCUGUGCCUUGGGGCCACAAGUGAGGCCAAGCUGGGAUUGUGGCCUCCAGGCAGGAGAACCUGCUUGAAGACCUGGCUGCUGGACUCAAGCCAAAAGGAUGAGACUCCAAUAAAGAGGCAUCUGGCUCAAAGAAUGGUCUAGAAUGAGGAUCCAGGUCUGUCUACCCUGGUAGCCUCCAGCUGGAGCAUCAAAGUUGGAGGGGGAAGGACCAGGCAGGGACUGUCCUAUUGCCAUUUAGAGUCUCAGGCCCUGCUCUUGGGAUUCUUAGUAUCCAGGACUGCUGUCAGUUUGAUGACUUUGGUUUGGUUGAGUAUGUAUUUUCACCAUGUGCCCAAUAAAAGAGAGCUGUGUGGUUUU
rnacentral:lncRNA from 1 species